CUGACUGUAAUUGUUGACCAUUGAGUAUCUAGGUUAGAAUGUCUAAAAAAGGCUACAAUUUUUACCAAAAUUAGUUUUGGAUUAGAAAAGCUUGGUGCAUCAAUGAAAUUCUUAAGCCUGAUAAAACAACCAGGUUUUGAGGAUGGUAUGGAUUCCGUGGGAGGUUGAACGUAUCUUCUACUACUCGUUCAUCUUCUGUCUGACGUUCCACUUGGGAUUGUGGAUAACUCAGCAGCAUAUGCAGGAGAGGUACCGGGACACCAUGUGGAUAUCCGAAGAGGAAGGAAUAACCACGGAAACGACAGAUCCGGACGAUCCUGAAAGAAUGAGCCCAGGCGGUUUACACUCUGCGAUAGACGACCUUUCAUCAGGCACCACUGAUGCAGGCGCCGAUUAUUAAAUAAAUCGACAUUUUAAAUUCUUGAA